GGACGUGUAGCUCAGCUGGUUAGAGCACUGCAUUCACAUUGCAGGGGUCACUGGUUCGAGUCCAGUCACGUCCA
rnacentral:tRNA from 1 species